UGUGUUUACUUCGGGUUUGGAUCACGACGAUUCUACUGCAUGGUGCUUAUGUUGUUCUAUCCAAACUCCCUUGAAAGAAAAUGAGGUUAAUAAACAAAAUAUCGUCCAUGAAUUAUAAGAAAGGUGAAUCAAUGAUUAUGGAAAAUACACCAACACGCAGUUAAUUUUUCUUUAUAUUAGGAUUGUGACAGACUUGAGACUUGGUGUUUACUACCAGAAAUGCCACGACCCCGACUGUAGAGGGAUUGACUAUCGUUCCCCUGAAAAGCCUAUACCACAGGAAAUCAAUCCGUUGUCAAGUUCUGAGUUUGACGAGUUUUCAACUAAUGAUUUUGAUGACCAAGAGCUUUGUAAGUUGUUAUCUGAAUGCGAGCAGAGGCUAAAUGAUUCUAGGAAUGAUGAAAUGGAAAAGAUGCUUAAUACAAACGAGAACAACUUGGACGAAGAUUGUGUCCCAAGAAAUAAACAAAAUGUAAUGCAAUUUGACAAUAGUGGUUGUGUUACGCAACCUAAAGUUGGUGAUUGUGACUUCGGUAAUGACUUGGACGAUGCAUUAAUGCGUGAGCUUCAGAUUCCACACCACAGUUGGGAUAGCGAGGGUGCAGUUUCACAUACAAGAAGCCUUAGGGAUCACAAUAAGCAUUCGUGACAAUCUUGUCAGGAUAAUGGGAAUUACACAAACCAAAUAUGGAAGUUAUCAGACGAGGGAAGAAACAAAACCAAAUUAAAUAAAACGGCUGGAAUGGACCUCUCACCAAAUUAUGCGAUUUGUCAGGAUGAAACACA